rnacentral:rRNA from 1 species
UACAGAGGUCUCAAGCGUUGUUCGGAUUCAUUGGGCGUAAAAGGGUGCGUAGGCGGCGCGGUUAAGUCGGGUGUGAAAUCGUCGGGGCUUAACUCCGAAACUGCAUUCGAUACUGCCGUGCUUGAGGACUGGGAGAGGAGACUGGAAUUUACGGUGUAGCGGUGAAAUGCGUAGAUAUCGUAAGGAAGACCAGUGGCGAAGGCGGGUCUCUGGACAGUUCCUGACACUGA